CUCCCUCUCUUCUCCCUCUCUUUCGCUUCUCAUCUAUCUCUCUUCUCUUUCUCUUUUUUUCUCUCUCUCUCACUUUCUUUUCUCCCUCUCUUCUCCUUUCAUCUCUCUCUCUCUCUCUCUCUCUCUCUCUCUCUCUCUCUCUCUCUCUCUCUCUCUCUUCUUCUCUCUCUGUCUCUCUCUCUCUCUCUGUCUCUCUCUUCUCUCUCUCUCUCUCUCUCUCUCUCUCUCUCUCUCCCCAUCCUCAUUUUCUGUGCUUAUUCUCCCUCCCCUAGGUUCUCAGAAGAAUGACUGACCAGCCCCCUUCCAGCCGUCACACACAUGAGAAAACUGAGGCCUGGAGGACAAGACCCAAGUCACCCAAGACCAUGAAUGUUUCCCUUGGGUGGCUCAGAAGGAAAGUUGUCUGCUGGUUGCCCCAAGAGGAGGAAACUUGCAUCUGUCUGGAGAAGGGGAAGGACCCGGUCCAAGAUUCAACCAAGCGAAGCCUCAGAGGCUGAACUGAGAAGGUGUAAAGGGCGUAUUUGGCUUCUGGCUGGCUCCUGGUUAGGGACAGAGGGGGUUCACUGUGGCUAGCUCAUGAUGACAGAGUGUCGCUGUAUUCUUACCUAUUUCCUUGGGCACACCUUGGUACCACAGGGAGAGAAAGUUUCCAGGAAUUCUGGGGACUUGUAGAUUCAAGACAUUCUGGAAAGUCUAGUGGAUACUAAAACACUGUAUUAGAUUAAAUUCUAUAGAUGUUUUUACACCCCUUGGGGUGUAAAGGGGUGUGUGCUUGUGGGGAAAAUGGCAGUCUCCUUGCCCUGUGGGUCUUUUGCCAGGUGGACGAGGUGAAACCUUAGGACUACCCAGGCGGUCAAGAGUUAGAAGAAGCCUGGUGGACAGCCAAUGCAUGGUUGUUAAUUUUUUUUAACCUUAGGAGUUAUCUUGUCCAACUCCUUCAUUUUUUUAAUGAAAAAAAAAUUUUUAAAUCAUCAAAUAUUUGUUUUCUCUCUCACACAUCCUACCCCGCCCCCAUCCCCC
rnacentral:lncRNA from 1 species